UCUAAUGGACAGAAUUGAAACUUUUCGUAUUUUCACUCGAAUAUAAUUUUUCACCCGAUACGUUUCCAUCCAUAAAUGAAUGCCUAUUCAUUUUCUCUCACUAUCUGAAACCCAAAACCGCUAGUAUAAUAAUGUUGGGUCAAGAUCUCAUUGAAUCACUGUCCCCGCGAAGCAAAUGUGUUUCAUGAGUUAGCUCAAUUAUCUAGAUAUAUUCUCCGUCUCUUGUUUGGUUCGAGAAUCUCCUAAUAGUACUGUACCUCUUCUUUUUAGAAGAUGUAACCAUUAUUAGCAAAUGAAUAAAAAGGUACCCCUCUCCCGUUGGGGGAGUACCUUACUUGGUAAAAAAAAUGCUGGGCCAUGAAAUGAAAUGAAAAACGUCUGGGCCGGAAAUUUGCUCAUCCUCUCCCGUUCUCGUUUUUCUCUGCUCAGUCCUACCUCGUACUCGUAGCCGUUGUUCCGGUGCCUCCGAGCAUCGCGCGCACCACCUGUUCGACGGAAUACCGCUCCAGAGCGGCAAGCGUCCUCCAUGGCGAGCGGGGUGGAUCGCAUCAGCGCCCUCCCGGACGACGUCCUCCACUUCUCCACCUCCUGCCUGCUGAAGAUGUGGUGCGGACGUGCGUCCUCGCACGGCGCUGGCGCGGCGUCUGGAGAUCCGUUCCCGCCCUACGCUUCACCGGCGUCGAGGGUUGGGGCAGCGCCGACAGGUUCGUCCAGUUCGUAGACCACCUGCUGCACCUCCGGUGCGCCGGCGGCGGCGCAGGCGCGCUUCUGGAUUACUGCGAUUUCGAUUUCGAUUCCGACGGGUUCAUGCGACUGCCGGCUAACGAGCGGCACGCGAGCCACUGGAUCUGGCAAGCUUUACCCCUUGUCCGGGUGCUCCGGGUUCGUGUCGUCGAAUUUGGGCAGGAACCCUCGCCGCUAUCUGAGCUGCAUCUCGUUUCCCAGCACUUAGCGAGGAUAGAGCUUGUCGGUGUGCGUUGUUGAUUUUUCAGGCUGUCCGGCAUUGGUGGAGCUGAGUAUGGAUCGUUGCCAUGUUUUUGUCACUCGGCUGUUGUCCCCAUCCUUGAAACAUCUGCGCCUUGUCCGCUGCUACAGUUCUGAUUAUACCCGCAUUCUAAUUUCUCUACCAUGUCUCGUCUCACUCGAGUUGAUUGAAUGCCAAGGAAAGGUUCCAUUGCUUGGAAGCUUGCCAUCGUUAGCAACAACAAUUGUUGAACUCGAUGGAGACUGUAGUGAUAGAUGCUCAGAGCAUCGAUUUGAUGGUUGUGAUGAUUGCGAUGGUUGUCGUGAUUAUUAUGAACCUGGUGAUGACCUCAACAACUGUGUGUUUCUCAAAGGUCUCUCAGAAGCUACAGACUUGGAGUUGUCAGCUUUUGCUGAUGUGAUUGUUUUCAACAGGGAUUUACAGUGGUGCCCUACAUUUACCAAGUUAAAGACUUUGUUACUCAACGACUGGUGUUUGGCUGCUGACCACAACGCAUUAAUUUGUUUUCUCCAACACUCACCAGUUUUGGAGAAGCUUACUCUUCAACUUUCUAAGGUAUCUCCAUAUUUAGUGGAAACAGGAGGAAUAUACAAACCAUUGGGACAUUCAGUUGCAUCCGAUUGUCUUCAGAUAGUUGAAAUCAAAUGUGCAAAUGUUGAUAGGCGGGUUCACAAAAUUCUGAAGAUCCUGACUACCUAUGGCAUCCGGCUUGACCAAAUUAAUAUCCAACAUACUAACAGAAUUUCUGGAUUUGGAUGUUUUAAAUUUGUUUGUACUGGUUUCAGCUAAAACUAGAGAUUGAUGAUAACUACAGCUGACGUACAAAGUCGUGCCGGUGGCUUAUGACAAGACGAUGCCCUGGGCUAAGGUCAGCUCCACGAUGGAGAGGCGUUCAGUGAGAGCCAUUGUCGGUCCGUAGCUGUUGGUCAACUUUCCAAAGUUUCAUGUUGAGAAUCUUGUUCUGGUCGAUGUGAGAAAAUUCUUGGUCUAGCUUCCAGCGAAAGAAUGCAUCAAUCUCAAGUUCUCAAAGACAGGCUCAGUCAGGUGGGCUUUGGCACCCCAUAAUUGCUCUCCUCGUCCUCCAUGCCGGCUGAGGCCGCCAGGGGGCCAAGAUGAUGGCAAGGUCAUGCCUUGCGGCCUCUCCGGGUUGCUUGCUCUCUCGUUGUCGAUGCUAUGCUCCAGCAGUCCAGCGUGCUAUUUACACUAGCCCUCAUGACGGUCCUCCUCUAGGACUUCCACCCUCCUGGACGACGAGCGGAGGGCUACUACAAGAGCGGCAACUAAAUAGUCCAUUCCGAUGGAUUGGUGAAAUUUGGAGAGGAAGUUCUCGUGUUUGAUGCAUUCUGAUGUGCUUGGUUCACUCUCUAGUUCGAAGUUGGGUUGGCGAGACAUUGGGUCUACUCUUCUCCUAGAUUUCCCAGUUCUCUUGCAACAGUCCAACCUCCUCUAGGGCUUCCAUUGGAGGCCAGCCGCAAGAGCGACAACCAGGUAUCCAUGAUCAGUUGGCUUGACGAAGGCUGAAGAUGUUGUAUCACUAACAUUUAGCACAAAUUGGCGAAGCUAGCCCCUUGCUUGCGAAAAAUCUUGCGCCUGACGGCUUGAUUUUGACCACAAGUAGCUUUGUCCGCAAUGCUCUUCUUCGAUGUUUACUACUCCCUCCACCCAACUUUUGUAACAAUGAAAAUAUCUUUAGUGAAUGCAAUAAGCA